UACGGGGGGAGCAAGCGUUGUUCGGAUUUACUGGGCGUAAAGGGCGCGUAGGCGGUCAGCACAAGUCAGUUGUGAAAUCUCCGGGCUUAACUCGGAAAGGUCAACUGAUACUGUGCGACUAGAGUGCGGAAGGGGCAACUGGAAUUCUUGGUGUAGCGGUGAAAUGCGUAGAUAUCAAGAGGAACACCUGCGGCGAAGGCGGGUUGCUGGGCCGACACUGACGCUGAGGCGCGAAAGCGUGGGUAGCGAACGGG
rnacentral:rRNA from 1 species